UUUUGAUAAAAAAUUUGUGACGUCUUGUAUAUGCACAUUGAAGAUAAGAUUAUCAAAAUUAAAAACAUAGUAAGUUACUUACUUAUUAGAAUUACAUCAUAUCCUGACCAUUGAAGCAAUUCAAUUUAAAAAUCGGAACACAUUGCGAGAGUCAGCCGUUCAAUUGCUAUUUCCGUUGGAUAUAUAUCACAGUUACAUACUCAUGCAUCAUUUUUUAUGCAGGCCACUGCAACGUGCAUCGUCCGUGCCGGCAACGAGCAAGAGCUUAUUUCUUUCAGAGAGCACACAGAAUAGGAGGCAGAUGAAGAGAGAGAAAGAGUGAGAGAAUGGGGGGAAAUAGAUGUGAGAAUAAAAAAAUUUAAGAAUGAGAGUUAGGAGAGAGAGAGAGAAAGAGAGAGAGAGAGAGA